UCGCGCCGCCGUCCCGAGAGCCAGCGCCCGAGCGCAGAGCCGCGCGCCAUGAGGGAGAUCGUGCACAUCCAGGCGGGCCAGUGCGGGAACCAGAUCGGCACCAAGGUGCGCGGCGCGGGCCUUUCCUGUCUGCGAGCGCUGGUGGUCGCGAACGGCUCUCCUGCGGCCCUGUCUAAACCGCGCGGACUCUGCUCUGUUGCAGGCCAGACGGGCGCGGGCAACAACUGGGCCAAGGGCCACUACACGGAGGGCGCGGAGCUGGUGGACGCGGUGCUGGACGUGGUGCGCAAGGAGUGCGAGCACUGCGACUGCCUGCAGGGCUUCCAGCUGACGCACUCGCUGGGCGGCGGCACGGGCUCGGGCAUGGGCACGCUGCUCAUCAGCAAGGUGCGCGAGGAGUACCCCGACCGCAUCAUGAACACCUUCAGCGUCAUGCCCUCGCCCAAGGUGUCGGACACGGUGGUGGAGCCCUACAACGCCACGCUGUCCGUGCACCAGCUGGUGGAGAACACGGACGAGACCUACUGCAUCGACAACGAGGCGCUCUACGACAUCUGCUUCCGCACGCUCAAGCUGGCCACCCCCACCUAC